UCUAUUCGACAUCUAAUUGUA
rnacentral:piRNA from 1 species